UUUCCGUAGGUGAACCUGCGGAAGGAUCAUUCAUACUAAAGUGUUUUAUGGCACUUUUUAAAAAUCCAUAUCCACCUUGUGUGCAAUGUUAGAUCUCGUCAAUCUUGGCGAGAUUUUUAUACAUCAACUCAUUCUUUAACUAAUUUGUCUGAAAAAUAUUAUGAAUACUUAAUUCAAAAUACAACUUUCAACAACGGAUCUCUUGGCUCUC
rnacentral:misc_RNA from 1 species